GGAAUUGCUAGUAAUCGUAGGUCAGCAUACUACGGUGAAUACGUUCCCGGGCCUUGUACACACCGCCCGUCAAACCAUGAGAGUUGGCAACACCCGAAGUCGGUAGUCUAACCGCAAGGAGGACGCCGCCGAAGGUGGGGUUGAUGAUUAGGGUUAAGUCGUAACAAGGUAGC
rnacentral:rRNA from 1 species